UGGGGAAUUUUGGACAAUGGGCGAAAGCCUGAUCCAGCAAUGCCGCGUGUGUGAAGAAGGCCUUCGGGUUGUAAAGCACUUUUGUCCGGAAAGAAAUCCUUGGCUCUAAUACAGUCGGGGGAUGACGGUACCGGAAGAAUAAGCACCGGCUAACUACGUGCCAGCAGCCGCGGUAAUACGUAGGGUGCAAGCGUUAAUCGGAAUUACUGGGCGUAAAGCGUGCGCAGGCGGUUUGCUAAGACCGAUGUGAAAUCCCCGGGCUCAACCUGGGAACUGCAUUCGUGACUGCAAGGCUAGAGUAUGGCAGAGGGGGGUAGAAUUCCACGUGUAGCAGUGAAAUGCGUAGAGAUGUGGAGGAAUACCGAUGGCGAAGGCAGCCCCCUGGGCCAAUACUGACGCUCAUGCACGAAAGCGUGGGGAGCAAACAGGAUUAGAUACCCUGGUAGUCCACGCCCUAAACGAUGUCAACUAGUUGUUGGGGAUUCAUUUCCUUAGUAACGUAGCUAACGCGUGAAGUUGACCGCCUGGGGAGUACGGUCGCAAGAUUAAAACUCAAAUGAAUUGACGGGGUCAUAGCUGUUUCC
rnacentral:rRNA from 1 species